rnacentral:rRNA from 1 species
GCGCGUGGCGAACGGGUGCGUAACACGUGGAUAACCUUCCUUCAGGUGGGGAAUAACCCAGUGAAAAUUGGGCUAAUACCGCAUAACAUGACGACGCCACAUGGUGUUGUCUUCAAAGGCGCAAGUCGCCAGAAGAGGGAUCCGCGGCCGAUUAGCUUGUUGGCGAGGUAAUGGCUCACCAAGGCAUUGAUCGGUAGCCGGACUGAGAGGUUGACCGGCCACACUGGAACUGAGACACGGUCCAGACUCCUACGGGAGGCAGCAGUGGGGAAUCUUGCACAAUGGACGAAAGUCUGAUGCAGCAACGCCGCGUGGGGGAUGAAGCUUCUCGGAGUGUAAACCCCUUUCGACCCGGAAGAAAGCCCGCAAGGGUUUGACGGUACGGGUAUAAGAAGCCCCGGCUAACUACGUGCCAGCAGCCGCGGUAAUACGUAGGGGGCCAGCGUUGCUCGGAAUUACUGGGCGUAAAGGGUCCGUAGGCGGUGUGGCAAGUCGGGAGUGAAAUCUCUGGGCUUAACCCAGAGGCUGCUUCCGAAACUGCCAUGCUAGAGUGUGAGAGAGGCGAGUGGAAUUA